UACAGAGGGUGCAAGCGUUGUUCGGAAUUAUUGGGCGUAAAGGGCGCGUAGGCGGUGCGGUAAGUCUGUAGUGAAAUCUCUGGGCUCAACUCAGAGUCUGCUAUAGAAACUGCCGUGCUUGAGUGUGGGAGAGGUGAGUGGAAUUCCUGGUGUAGCGGUGAAAUGCGUAGAUAUCAGGAGGAACACCUGUGGCGAAAGCGGCUCACUGGACCAUAACUGACGCUGAUGCACGAAAGCUAGGGGAGCAAACAGG
rnacentral:rRNA from 1 species